rnacentral:lncRNA from 1 species
UUUCUAAUGUGUGCUCAAGUGCACACAAUAAGCACCAAUUUUCAUGAAAAUGAUUUGUUUUGAUUGGUGGAAUUGAUGUAAAUGCAGAGGGGCCAUUUACAUUUAUUAUCCAUCCACCAAUCAAAAGUUAGAAUUUUCAUGAGAAUUAGUGAAAAUUCGUUUGGAAAUAUAUGUAAUAAUUGGUCGGGCAUUGACCAAGACUGUAACGUGUCUCUGUUUCUAACAAUAUAUAAAUAUUUUGUUAUCUAUUCGUCCUUUAUUUUAUACUAUUUGAGUUUUUUACACAUAAUACAAAAUAUACAAACAAGAAUAUUAUAUACAUCUGUUUAUAUUAAAGGCCCAAAAUGAUAAGUAGAAAAAUAUUUCAAUCAAAAAAAUUUAAAUAAUGUGUAUACAUACAUUAUCCGCAAUAAAUUUAUAAAACAUAUCCAUGACCUCCACCAACAGCAGCAGAGUCCGUGUGCUGAAGUUUCCAUUGCGGAAAUGGCGAAAAAAAAGAAGACGAAGUUUCAGAAGUAAACAAAAAAUUGCGAAACAGUUGAGUCUGAAGCCGGAGCUGCCCGAGGCGCGGGCCUGGAUAACGAGAGCUCGUGUCUUAAAAUUGACAUGAAAACUCUGUAGUCUUCCAAGAACUCCACCAUUUUCCCCACCCUUAUCAUCUCUCUCCCUUGCUCUCUGUAUACGAUCUCUCUACCUUAUAGUCUGCAGAGAGAUUAUAGAAAGAGACGUGUUCUGCGUGUGGUUAUCUCUCUGUACACGCUGAACAAAAUGUAGAAGCAAAACCUUGGAGCGUGGUAGUUGAGAAAAACUGAAUGUGGAAGGUUUAUUUUUGGGUAGCCGAUUAUAUAUAGCCAUAGAGGUGGGUAGGAGAUAUGAAUGAAGGCCAAAGUUUAUACCUUUCGCGGCCCACACGCUUAAUUAUAUUGAC